AGGACGAACGCUUGCGACGUGCCUAAGAAAUGCAAGUCGAACGGGGUAGCAAUACCUAGUGGCGAACGGUCGCGUAACACGUGGGCAACCUGCCUUGAAGCGGGGGACAACAAUCCGAAAGGGUUGCUAAUACCGCAUGUGAACUCUUGUGGCAUCACGAGAAGUUCAAAGCUUUAUGCACUUCAAGAUGGGCCCGCGGCCUAUCAGCUAGUUGGUGGGGUAACGGCCUACCAAGGCUUCGACGGGUAGCUGGUCUGAGAGGACGAUCAGCCGGAUUGGGACUGAGAUACGGCCCAGACUCCUACGGGGGGCAGCAAUUAGGAAUCUUGCGCAAUGGGGGCAACCCUGACGCAGCGACGUCGCGUGGAGGAUGAAAUCUUUCGGGAUGUAACUCCUUUUACCAGGGAAGAACAAAUGACGGUACCUGGUGAAUAAGCCCCGGCUAACUACGUGCCAGCAGCCGC
rnacentral:rRNA from 1 species